UACGUAGGGUGCGAGCGUUGUCCGGAAUGAUUGGUCGUAAAGCGUCCGCAGGUGGCAAUGUAAGUCUGCUGUCAAAGCGUCUGGCUCAACCAGAUAAAGGCAGUGGAAACUACAUAGCUAGAGUGAGGUAGGGGUAGAGGGAAUUCCUGGUGUAGCGGUGAAAUGCGCAGAUAUCGGGAGGAACACCGGUGGCGAAGGCGGUUCUCUGGGCCUUACCUGACGCUGAGGAGCGAAAGCGUGGGGAGCGAACAGG
rnacentral:rRNA from 1 species